CAACAAUAAAUAGAAGCAGUAAAAAUGUUUAUGGUGUUGAUCCGCCGGGCAAAGCUUGUGUUAGCAGUGAUUUUGGUGCAACUCAGGUAUGAUGGGCUUUCGAUAAUCUCUGUGUUUGCUUUAAAGAAGGGAAUGAGUCCUUACACAUUCAUCAUGUACCGAAUGGCCAUUGCCACUAUUGUUCUAGCUCCAUUUGCAUUUAUUUUGGAGAGGAAUUCAAGACCUCCGAUCGAUGACUUGGUCCAUUACUGCAAAGAUAAUGUUGCUGAGCCUUUUCAAUUAAGUAAGAAUCCAAAUAGGAUAUUCUAAUUCAUUUGUUCAACUUAUGGUGUAUUAUGAUUAUCUGUUCAUGCAUUGCAGUCCUGUGCUUGACCAGAACCUCUACUACAUGGGAAUGAAGAAUUCGAGUGCAACGUUCACUUCUGCAAUGUUGAAUAUGCUGCCUGCUUUUGCAUUUUGUCUAGCCUGGAUUUUUAGGUUUGAGAAGGUUAGCCUUAAGAAACUGCACAGCAUAGCAAAGGUGAUGGGGACGUUCAUCACAGUCAGGGAGCAAGUCUUGACUGUAGUUUAAAGGUCCCUCUUUGUGUCUACCAUGGGCCAAUGAAGAACAAAUAGAUCCUCAUCAAUCUGCGCAAUGCUAUUUGGGUCAGACAGACCUUGUAAAAGGAGCUCUAUUUAUCACAGGAGCUUGUUUCUGCUGGUCUUCGUUUGUCAUUUUGCAAGCGAUUACCUUAAGAUCCUACCCUUGUCACUCUCACAGCAAUGACAUGCUUUUGGGGUAUGGUGGAAGGCGCAAUACUGGCUUUUGUAGUUGAAAGGGGACAUAGUGGAGUCUGGUCCAUACAAUUCAACAUCGAACUUGUAGCAGCAUUUUAUGGGGCAGUGCAAUCUGGUGUUGCUUAUUAUGUGAUGGGAAUGGUAGUGAAGGAAAAGGGACCUGCUUUUCACUCGGCUUUUCAUCCCUUGGCCACAGUAGGUUGCAAUCCUGGGUUCCUUUGUUUUAGCAGAACAACUGUACAUUGGGAGUGUUAUCGGAGCAGCUUUAAUCAUCAUUGGUCCGCAUCUCAUUCUCUGGGGAAAAGCAAAGGAUCAGUCUCCUCCAUCACAGUGCUGCAUGAUCGAUGAAGUAGCACCACUAACACAAAGAUUAAUAGUUGAUCAACAAUGUUAAGAGAUUCCAUGUCACUUCAAGCAUACUGUUGAUCCUUCAAAACUCUGGCAAACCAGUUUGUUAGUCUUUUUUCUUUUUCCUUCUUAUUUUGAAGUGAAAUGAUCACCGUUGUUCUGAUUAAAUAUUCAUCAGCUAGAUUAAAGUAUUAACUAUGUUAAGUAAAAUUAGGACUAGAUUGUUUUAGCUGUUAGAGAAUUUUGCAUGUGAUUGUGCCUAAAGAAAUCUGGCCUACUUACGAGUUAUUUCUUGCCACUUCAUGAAUAGGCUGAUCCAUGCAAAUUCUGCCAUGCAUGUCAGCUUUUAGUCGUCGUUUUCCUUUUCCUCUUUUCUUUUCUUUUUCUUGUUAUUUUGAUUUUUGAGUAGCAAGGAUCACCAUUGGUCUGUUUUAAGUACUCAUCAGCUAGCUUUAAAGUAUUAACGUACAAUUAGACGUAAGA